rnacentral:lncRNA from 8 species
CUUGACUGUCGGAAUGUGCCUCGUGGGAACAGGCCCGAGUUUGCCCCCUCCUUUCAUGGUGCACAAUUUGGUGUCAACUCUAAUUAUCAUAAAUCCCAGCCUGCUUCAAAUGAAGGGACGAGAGGUGCUGGGAGCUAGUCUCUCUCACAUUCAAGGCAGGGGAAGAAUUAAGAGCUCCCUCGGUGAAGAAGCCCACUUGGAUGACUUUCAGACAUAACAACAGGUAAUUAAAACAGGCAUUCACUCCUUGUAGUAAAGCAAUUUAUGUUUUUAAACAUAAAUAAAACAUUUAUUUUGCAGUGUAAAUUUGCAAAAGGUUGUACUUAGUUAAUUAUCUUCAAAACAUUAAGUAUUCAAUGUAUACAUUUCAACAUACAGUAAAGUAGACAAUAAUGCAUUUGUCUGAUACAGUUAUACAUUUAUAACCUUAUUUGAAUUAGCUCCGUUCUUGGGACACGUAUGUCUUCAUCAUGUAAAAUGUAGUCCACGAUUCAGUGUAAAA